rnacentral:rRNA from 1 species
GACGAACGCUGGCGGCGUGCUUAACACAUGCAAGUCGAACGGAAAGGCCCUGCUGGGGUGGGGUGCUCGAGUGGCGAACGGGUGAGUAACGCGUGAGUAACCUGCCCUUGACGUUGGGAUAACGUCAGGAAACUGGGGCUAAUACCGGAUAGGAGCUCCUGCUGCAUGGUGGGGGUUGGAAAGUUUCGGCGGUUGGGGAUGGACUCGCGGCGUAUCAGCUUGUUGGUGGGGUAGUGGCUUACCAAGGCUUUGACGGGUAGCCGGCCUGAGAGGGUGACCGGCCACAUUGGGACGGAGAUACGGCCCAGACUCCUCCGGGAGGCAGCAGUGGGGAAUAUUGCACAAUGGGAGGAAGCCUGAUGCAGCAACGCCGCGUGCGGGAUGACGGCAUUUGGGUUGUAAACCGCUUUCGCCUGUGACGAAGCGUGAGUGACGGUAAUGGGUAAAGAAGCACCGGCUAACUACGUG